rnacentral:rRNA from 1 species
GAUGAACGCUGGCGGCGUGCCUAAUACAUGCAAGUCGAGCGGCAGCACGGUCUUCGGACUGGUGGCGAGCAGCGGACGGCUGAGUAACGCGUAGGAACAUGCCCCAAAGUGAGGGAUAACUGCCCGAAAGGGUGGCUAAUACCGCAUGUGGCCUUAGGACUAAAGCUUUAUGCGCUUUGGGAGUGGCCUGCGUCUGAUUAGCUAGUUGGUGAGGUAAUAGCUCACCAAGGCGACGAUCGGUAGCUGGUCUGAGAGGAUGAUCAGCCAGACUGGAACUGAGAACGGUCCAGACUCCUACGGGAGGCAGCAGUAGGGAAUUUUCCACAAUGGGCGAAAGCCUGAUGGAGCAACGCCGCGUGCAGGAUGAAUGCCUUCGGGUUGUAAACUGCUUUUAUGUGCGAAGAAUUUGACUGUAACACAUGAAUAAGGAUCGGCUAACUACGUGCCAGCCGCCGCGGUAA